ACACACACACACAUAUAUAUGUGUGUGUGUGUUAUAAUCAUCACACACACAUAUAUAUAUGUGUGUGUGUG
rnacentral:pre_miRNA from 11 species